UAAGAAAUCUGUGAGAAGGUGAGCUCCAAGUUUCUGAGAGACAUACAGCCAUUCAGGGAAGAAUGAAUAACAACAAUUAUCUAUAAUUUCUGUGAGCCGUUGAUUUUAGAGUCCAGCUUACCUUUAACCUCCUUCCUUCACAAAACCUUUGUGAUACAGUGGAAAGGGAGAAUUCUGAUGGACAUCCUGGCACCAACAAACUCUCUGAAGGUGCUUUGCUGAGGCCUCGGUUACAGUGACCCUUGAAAUUCAGCAGGGACUCAGACAGCUUGCAAGUUCUGAGCCAGCCCAGAGAGGAAGGACCCCUUGGUCCAAGGAGAAAGCAGGAUCAACACCCUCUGGAGUCCUCCUUCACGUCUGUCAUCAGCUUUUUGAAACUCUUACCAGCCACCUGCUGAACUCCGGCAUGUUUAACACUGAUAGGAACCCAAUUACCACCCAUUCUAGAGUGGUUUCUUGAGGGCACUUGAUAAGGGCUAUUGGAUUCCA